rnacentral:ncRNA from 1 species
UUACCCUUUGAUUAUAAACAAAGGAGGUCUAUCACAUGACUAAAGAUAUCGUUGAAACAGUCGGUGGUCUUGUUAAAUGGAUUCUCGAUACUGUGAAAAAAUUUGCUUAAUUUUUAUGUCCCAAUAAGUUGAAGCAUUUAUUGUAACUCAGCAAAAACCAAGUGUCAUUGUAUAAAGCCUAAAACAGAGGCGGAGUAUUAUUUUGUAAGCUAUCGUAAACAUCAUUCAAUUGAUUAAUAAUCGGUAAAUUCACUAAAUAUUUUUCAUAAUUAAAAACAUCCCCAAAAAAUAGAAAAAAUAACUGUAAAAACAUUCCCUUAAUAAAUAAAAAGCCGUGAGUCCCUCCCAAGCUCACGGCUU